rnacentral:rRNA from 1 species
AGAGUGCGUAAUAGCUCACUAGUCGAGAGGUCCUGCGCCGAAAAUGUCCGGGGCUAAAACACAACACCGAAGCUUAGGAAUGUAAUUAUACAUUGGUAGAGGAGCAUUCUUAAAGAGACGAAGCAGUACCGAUAAGGAGCUGUGGAUUUUUAAGAAGAGAGAAUGCCGGAAUGAGUAGCGAGAUGGAGGUGGGAAUCCUCCAGGCCGAAUAUCUAAGGUUUCCAGAGUAAAGCUGAUCUGCUCUGGGUAAGUCGGGGCCUAAGGCGAGGUCGAAAGACGUAGUCGAUGGAUAACAGGUUGAAAUUCCUGUACUGCAUAUCAUCAGAACUGUGGGGACACAGAGAGAUACCGGAACCUGGGAAUGAAGAUACCAGGGCAAGCGAGGUAGGUGCUAAGCUGGCAAAACCGCUUAGUAAGCCGAAGACGUGAUGCGGAGCGAAUUAAAGUAGCGAAGUCCGGGAUUCGAGCUGUCGAGAAAAGCCGCUAUUGUGUGAUAUGUACCCGUACCGUAAACCGACACAGGUGGAUGAGGAGAGAAUCCUAAGGCCGGCGGGAGAAGCAUUGUUAAGGAACUCGGCAAAAUGACCCUGUAACUUCGGGAUAAAGGGUGCCACAGAGAUGUGGCCGCAGAGAAUAGGCUCAAGCAACUGUUUAGCAAAAACACAGGUCUAUGCGAAACCGAAAGGUGAGGUAUAUGGGCUGACGCCUGCCCGGUGCUGGAAGGUUAAGAGGAGAGGUUAGCGCAAGCGAAGCUUUGAAUUUAAGCCCCAGUAAACGGCGGCCGUAACUAUAACGGUCCUAAGGUAGCGAAAUUCCUUGUCGGGUAAGUUCCGACCCGCACGAAAGGCGUAAUGAUUUGAGCGCUGUCUCGACAAUGCACCCGGUGAAAUUGAAAUACCAGUGAAGAUGCUGGUUACCUGCGCCAGGACGGAAAGACCCCAUGGAGCUUUACUCUAGCUUGAUACUGGGAUUCGGUACUGCAUGUACAGGAUAGGUGGGAGACUUUGAUGACAGGACGCCAGUCUUGUCGGAGUCGCUGUUGGGAUACCACCCUUGUGGUACUGGAUUUCUAACCAACCUCCGUGACCCGGAGGUGGGACAAUGUCAGGUGGGGAGUUUGACUGGGGCGGUCGCCUCCGAAAGGGUAUCGGAGGCGCUCAAAGGUUCCCUCAGAAUGGUUGGAAACCAUUCGAAGAGUGCAAAGGCAGAAGGGAGCUUGACUGCGACACCGACGGGUGGAGCAGGU